CAAUAGCGUAUAUUAAAGCUGUUGCGGUUAAAAAGCUCGUAGUUGGAUUUCUGUCAAGUACAACUGGUCCGCCCUCCGGGUGAGCACAUAGUUUGGUCCUGGCAUCUUGCUGGAAACUGUUGCUGCGCUUGGUUGUGUGGCGCAGCAUCCAGCACUUUCACUUUGAGGAAAUUGGAGUGUUUCAAGCAGGCACAUGCCUUUGGACACAGUAGCAUGGAAUAAUUAGAUUGGGCUUUUGCUCCAAUUUGUCGGUUUCUGGAGCUGAGGUGAGAAUUAAUGGGGAUUGUUGGGGGCAUCCGAAUUUAGCCGUCAGAGGUGAAAUUCUUGGAUCUGCUAAAGACGGACAACUGCGAAAGCGUUUGCCCAGGAUGUUUUCAUUGA
rnacentral:rRNA from 1 species